rnacentral:rRNA from 1 species
CUACGUGCCAGCAGCCGCGGUAAUACGUAGGUGGCGAGCGUUGUCCGGAAUUAUUGGGCGUAAAGGGAGCGCAGGCGGACAUAUAAGUCCAUCUUAAAAGUGCGGGGCUCAACCCCGUGAGGGGAUGGAAACUGUAUGCCUUGAGUGCAGGAGAGGAAAGCGGAAUUCCCAGUGUAGCGGUGAAAUGCGUAGAUAUUGGGAGGAACACCAGUGGCGAAGGCGGCUUUCUGGACUGUAACUGACGCUGAGGCUCGAAAGCCAGGGGAGCGAAUGGGAUUAGAUACCCCGGUAGUCCUGGCCGUAAACGAUGAAUGCUAGGUGUAGGAGGUAUCGACCCCUCCUGUGCCGGAGUUAACGCAAUAAGCAUUCCGCCUGGGGAGUACGGUCGCAAGACUGAAACUCAAGGGAAUUGACGGGGGCCCGCACAAGCGGUGGAGUAUGUGGUUUAAUUCGACGCAACGCGAAGAACCUUACCAGGGCUUGACAU